CACGGCGAGAGAGAAGCUCACUUUUGGCUAAUAACAAAACUCUGACUGGUUAAUAAAGUUAAUGUUCGUCCUCAGCGAGCUGCUGGUUCCUCUCAGGGUUUCAUGAGGUGAGAGUAAAGAUCCACUGAGUAAACCCUCAUCCUGCUGGUCUACGUGCAUGUCAUAGAUGGAACCAACAGACCAGAGAUGUCAUCAUGGAUGUUUCCCUCACUCAGAGGUCAGGGCAGCUGAAGUUCUGUUUGAAGACUUUAUCCAUGAAAUGAUACGAAUAGAAGAGGGGAGACAGAUGAAGACAUGAAGACACCUUUUCCUUCCAUUUUUUGUUUUCUCUCCAUCCUGUGUGUGGGGUCUAUUUUCAUCACUGUGAACACCAACCUUAAAGGCUGAAUAAAAUACAUGCACAACAAAAACAAGGUCUUGAAGCCUUUUUUUAAGAAGUAAUUUCUUCUCUUCAUUCAUCUCUUGUCCGACACUGUAGCUGCACUUAGCUUUGACUCGGUUGUUUAAUCUUUUUUAUUCUGUUUUACUUAAUUUGAUUCUGCUCUUUUAAAAUUCAGUUGUUAUUUAUUGGUUUCUUUAUAUCUUGUUUUAAUGCUUUUUAUGUCUCAUGUAAAACACUAGUAAUUGCAGUUAUACAAAUAAACCUUUAUCUUGCACCCUUCAGUUCAAAACUCAUGUUCUGUAUAGAUCAUCUGUUCCCAACCUGAGGGUCGAGACCUCCGUAGGGAACAAAUGAUAAAUCUGUGGGGUCUUGAGAUGAUUAACGGGACAGGAAAAGCUUUUUAAGGACACGAAAACAAUCUAAACAUCAGUUUUUGGUCUUAAAGGGCCACAAGCCAAAAAGGUUGAGUCCCACCGAUGUGGAUCAUACGACCCAGAAACUUGACCACGCAGCAUUUUCCAUAACACCCUGUAGCAUGGUGUCUCACUGAGCAUCUGAAGACGGACCUGAUAUCUGAGUCAUGACAUUCAAUGAAAAUGACCUGAACUGUGGCGAGGAGACGAUUGGAUGCUCCAUCAUGAUAACACGUCCACUCACAGUGCACUGACAACACUUCUUCCUGUUCCCCAAAAUGAAAUUCAAGCUGAAGAGUCGGUGUUCUGACUAUGGAUGGGGAUCAAUAGUUAAU